AUUGAACGCUGGCGGCAUGCCUUACACGUGCAAGUCGAACGGCAGCACGGGAGCAAUCCUGGUGGCGAGUGGCGAACGGGUGAGUAAAGUAUCGGAACGUGCCCAGUCGUGGGGGAUAACGUAGCGAAAGUUACGCUAAUACCGCAUACGAUCUAUGGAUGAAAGCGGGGGAUCGCAAGACCUCGCGCGAUUGGAGCGGCCGAUCUCAGACCAGUUAGGUAGUUGGUGGGGUAAAGGCUCACCAAGCCGACGAUCUGUAGAUGGUCUGAGAGGACGACCAGCCAAACUGGGACUGAGACACGGACCAGACUCCUACGGGGGGCAGCAGGGGGGAAGUUUGGACAAUGGCCGAAAGCCUGAUCCAGCCAUGCCGCGUGCAGGAUGAAGGCCUUCGGGUUGUAAACUGCUUUUGUACGGAACGAAAAGGUUUGGCCUAAUAAGCUGAGCUCAUGACGGUACCGUAAGAAUAAGCACCGGCUAACUACGUGCCAGCAGCCGCCGUAA
rnacentral:rRNA from 1 species